rnacentral:rRNA from 1 species
UAGGGAAUCUUCGGCAAUGGACGAAAGUCUUACCGAGCAACGCCGCGUGAGUGAAGAAGGUUUUCGGAUCGUAAAACUCUGUUGUUAGAGAAGAACAAGGACGUUAGUAACUGAACGUCCCCUGACGGUAUCUAACCAGAAAGCCACGGCUAACUACGUGCCAGCAGCCGCGGUAAUACGUAGGUGGCAAGCGUUGUCCGGAUUUAUUGGGCGUAAAGCGAGCGCAGGCGGUUUCUUAAGUCUGAUGUGAAAGCCCCCGGCUCAACCGGGGAGGGUCAUUGGAAACUGGGAGACUUGAGUGCAGAAGAGGAGAGUGGAAUUCCAUGUGUAGCGGUGAAAUGCGUAGAUAUAUGGAGGAACACCAGUGGCGAAGGCGGCUCUCUGGUCUGUAACUGACGCUGAGGAUCGAAAGCGUGGGGAGCAAACAGG